AGCUUAUCUGUGAUGUUUCUCUUUUAAAAAAUGUCUGAACAUCUGAGUUCAUAAGUGAUUUCAUUUUGUAACUGAGAUAAGCU